rnacentral:rRNA from 1 species
UACGGAGGGUGCGAGCGUUGUCCGGAAUCACUGGGCGUAAAGGGCGCGUAGGCGGCCUGAUAAGUAGGGGGUGAAAUCUUGCGGCUUAACCGCAAGGCUGCCUUCUAAACUGUCAGGCUCGAGCACAGUAGAGGCAGGUGGAAUUCCACGUGUAGCGGUGAAAUGCGUAGAGAUGUGGAGGAACACCGAUGGCGAAGGCAGCCUUCUGGGCCAACACUGACGCUGAGGCGCGAAAGCGUGGGGAGCAAACAGG